rnacentral:rRNA from 1 species
GACGAACGCUGGCGGCGUGCUUAACACAUGCAAGUCGAACGGAAAGGCCCUGCUUGCAGGGUACUCGAGUGGCGAACGGGUGAGUAACACGUGGGUGAUCUGCCCUGCACUUCGGGAUAAGCCUGGGAAACUGGGUCUAAUACCGGAUAGGAGCCAUUUUUAGUGUGAUGGUUGGAAAGUUUUUUCGGUGUAGGAUGAGCUCGCGGCCUAUCAGCUUGUUGGUGGGGUAAUGGCCUACCAAGGCGGCGACGGGUAGCCGGCCUGAGGGGGUGGACGGCCACAUUGGGACUGAGAUACGGCCCAGACGCCGACGGGAGGCAGAAGGGGGGAAGAUUGCACAAUGGGCGCAAGCCUGAUGCAGCGACGCCGCGUGGGGGAUGACGGCCUUCGGGUUGGAAACUCCUUUCGCUAGGGACGAAGCUUUUUGUGACGGUACCUAGAUAAGAAGCACCGGCUAACUACGUG